AAAUUUUUAGGGGGGAAGUAGGAUGAUUCACACCUCCAUAUAAACUUAAUUACAGCCAGAUUACCUUGCAGAGCUUUCUGGUAAGGUGUGGGAAAACUAGAUAAUGGUGGGUGGUGGGAGAAAACAGAAGGAAGCACUGAAAUAGGGUGACUCUGGGGAAAGGCUUGGAGGAAAUACACUCUCUUCUGCUAUGUGACCCCCCCAAAGCUGAACAUUGGAGGAAAGGAGCAGCACUAAUCAGUUUGGGAAGGCUCUUUAGGCAUGCCAAACAAAUGUCCCCCAUUCUUCAACCAGAGCAUACUGGCUUCCUCGUCAGAUCACCCUCCCCACUCUCCUUCUCUCCUCCCACCAUGACAAUGCUCUGAUGAUGGUUUCUGCUAUCUAAGGCCCUCACACCCCAGCAGAGCCACUAUUGGCUGGGUAGUGGUUUGCUGACCAAUCAAAGCUCAGUGGUGUGGCCCCGCCCUGUCCUGGAAGGGUAUAUAUAGGGAAGCCAGGAGGCCUGGAGUAGACCACUGAGAGACCCCGAGGUGGUGAAGAUAACCAGGAAACCAAGCAAUCAGACCAGUUGUAGAACCCCCACCCACCAACACCAAAGAGUCAAGGAAGACAAAGUCCCCCUCUUAACCCAGGCCCAGAAGCCCUAUCAAG
rnacentral:lncRNA from 1 species